GAUGAACGCUGGCGGCGUGCCUAAUACAUGCAAGUCGAGCGAACAGACGAGGAGCUUGCUCCACUGACGUUAGCGGCGGACGGGUGAGUAACACGUGGAUAACCUACCUAUAAGACUGGGAUAACUUCGGGAAACCGGAGCUAAUACCGGAUAAUAUAUUGAACCGCAUGGUUCAAUAGUGAAAGACGGUUUUGCUGUCACUUAUAGAUGGAUCCGCGCCGCAUUAGCUAGUUGGUAAGGUAACGGCUUACCAAGGCAACGAUGCGUAGCCGACCUGAGAGGGUGAUCGGCCACCCGGGAACUGAGACACGGUCCAGACUCCUAGGGGAGGCAGCAGUAGGGAAUCUUCCGCAAUGGGCGAAAGCCUGACGGAGCAACGCCGCGUGAGUGAUGAAGGUCUUCGGAUCGUAAAACUCUGUUAUUAGGGAAGAACAAAUGUGUAAGUAACUAUGCACGUCUUGACGGUACCUAAUCAGAAAGCCACGGCUAACUACGUG
rnacentral:rRNA from 1 species